rnacentral:sRNA from 1 species
GAUACCAGGGUUCCAAAGUCAAAAUCUGACGCAAGCUUGCUUGCAGGAAGAUUUCUGACCUCGGAACCCGCCAAAAAUAUGAGUAAGUAGCCAUUUUUCAAAGAAAAAUGCGCGGAUUAUGAAUAUUUUUGAGGAUUGCGGAAGUGCAAGGCACGUAGCAAUCCGGGC